GCACAGAACAAAGUCGCAUAGAACAGCAGUAACAUAUCGUUGGCGUCGUCGGUAUUACCGAAUCAACUAGCAAGCGGUCACAACGUAUCGGCCGAGGUAGAAUUAAGAGGGAAUAUUUACAAUUUUAUGCAAAACAUAAACUCAUUGCACACCAUAUAAGUAGAAUAGAAAGAAAGCGUGGCUGGUAUGAAAUUGAAGAACUUUAAAUGCUAAAACGGUAAUAACCACUACAAACGGUAAUAACCACUACAAACGGUAACAACCCCUACAAACGCUCGUUUUCCCGCGAAAUAAGAUGGCGUAGAACCCGCUCAAGAAACCGACUUUUUUCACUCUCUUGUGCUUACGUGAUCUUGUGUCGUUCGUUCAUGCUGUGACCCGAUUGAGAAAAUACAAAGGUUGCGCCGAUCUCGGACCGCUAUUCCUCUCUUAAGAAAUUUGACAGAAUCGUUGUUUGCAUGGCGUCACACUUGUGCAACUUGUUUACGUUUUCCUUGCAACAUUUUUUCUUCUUCUUCCAUUCUUGCUCACGUUUUGGCAUUUCUCUCUCGCAAUUGCACCAGUGUGACGUCACACAAAAGUUAUUCUCAAAAAUCCUCUCUGAUCGGCGCAAUCUUGUAUUCUAUCAUUCUUGAUGCUGUGAACCGCUAACUCAAUUUACACAGACGAACGAGAGCACAAAGCGUGUUGCCCGAGCACGAGCAACUCGGUGCCUCUCUCCUUUCUUCGUCACGCUCUCUCCAACAAACGUCGAGUUGCGGCAACAAAAAUCGCCGUGUUUGAAUGAGCACUUAUCAAGCUUAUUAAUUGUAUGUAGAAAUCUCCAAAAGCGUAGAUUUUGAAUUACAACUCUAUGUUAUUAAACGUGCGAUAUGUAUGUAUGUAUAUACGUUCGCUAUUACGUUAUCAUAUAUAGUUGUCUCUUUUCAAUUAAAUAUUAUUAUGCUACAAAUAUCGCGUUAAAUAAUGCAAAAAAUGCCACAUGAAUAUCGCUAAGCUGCAAA